UUUUAUGCGCUUUGGGGAGGGGCCUGCGUAACAUUAGCUUGUUGGUGAGGUAAAAGCUCACCAAGGCUUCGAUGUUUAACUGGUUUUGAGAGGAUGACCAGUCACACUGGGACUGAGAUACGGCCCAGACUCCUACGGGAGGCAGCAGUAAGGAAUCUUCCACAAUGGGGCAACCCUGAUGGAGCAAUACCGCGUGCAGGAUGAAGCGUUUCGGCGUGUAAACUGCUUUUAUCACCGAAGAUUAUGACUGUAGGUGAAGAAUAAGGACCGGCUAACUACGUG
rnacentral:rRNA from 1 species